GACGAACGCUGGCGGCGUGCUUAACACAUGCAAGUCGAACGGAAAGGCCCUGCUUUUGUGGGGUGCUCGAGUGGCGAACGGGUGAGUAACACGUGAGUAACCUGCCCUUGACUUUGGGAUAACUUCAGGAAACUGGGGCUAAUACCGGAUAGGAGCUCCUGCUGCAUGGUGGGGGUUGGAAAGUUUCGGCGGUUGGGGAUGGACUCGCGGCUUAUCAGCUUGUUGGUGGGGUAGUGGCUUACCAAGGCUUUGACGGGUAGCCGGCCUGAGAGGGUGACCGGCCACAUUGGGACUGAGAUACGGCCCAGACUCCUACGGGAGGCAGAAGUGUGGAAUAUUGCACAAUGGGCGGAAGCCUGAUGCAGCAACGCCGCGUGCGGGAUGACGGCCUUCGGGUUGUAAACCGCUUUCGCCUGUGACGAAGCGUGAGUGACGGUAAUGGGUAAAGAAGCACGGGCUAACUACGUG
rnacentral:rRNA from 1 species